CCUACGGGUGGCAGCAGUGGGGGAUAUUGCACAAUGGAGGGAACUCUGAUGCAGCGACGCCGCGUGAGGGAAGACGGUCCUCGGAUUGUAAACCUCUGUCUUUGGGGAAGCAAAUGACGGUACUCAAAGCGGAAGCUCCGGCUAACUACGUGCCAGCAGCGGCGGUAAUACGUAGGAAGCGAGCGUUGUCCGGAAUUACUGGGUGUAAAGGGAGCGUAGGCGGGCGAGAAAGUUGACUGUAAAAUCUACCGGCGUAACUGGUAGCUGCGUUCAAAACUUCUUGUCUUGAGUGAAGUAGAGGCAGGCGGAAUGCCUAGUGUAGCGGUGAAAUGCGUAGAUAUUAGGAGGAACACCAGUGGUGAAGGCGGCCUGCUGGGCUUUAACUGACGCUGAGGCUCGAAAGCGUGGGGAGCGAACAGGAUUAGAUACCCUGGUAGUC
rnacentral:rRNA from 1 species